UACGUAGGGUGCAAGCGUUAAUCGGAAUUACUGGGCGUAAAGCGUGCGCAGGCGGUGAUGUAAGACAGAUGUGAAAUCCCCGGGCUCAACCUGGGAACUGCAUUUGUGACUGCAUCGCUAGAGUACGGCAGAGGGGGAUGGAAUUCCGCGUGUAGCAGUGAAAUGCGUAGAUAUGCGGAGGAACACCGAUGGCGAAGGCAAUCCCCUGGGCCUGUACUGACGGCU
rnacentral:rRNA from 1 species